rnacentral:rRNA from 1 species
UACGAAGGGGGCUAGCGUUGUUCGGAAUUACUGGGCGUAAAGGGCGCGUAGGCGGUGUGUCAAGUCAGGCGUGAAAGCCCCGGGCUCAACCUGGGAACCGCGCUUGAGACUGGCACGCUAGAGUUCGGGAGAGGAUGGUGGAAUUCCCAGUGUAGAGGUGAAAUUCGUAGAUAUUGGGAAGAACACCGAUGGCGAAGGCAGCCAUCUGGACCGACACUGACGCUGAGGCGCGAAGGCGUGGGGAGCAAACAGGG